CCCUUAGAUGUUCUGGGCCGCACGCGUGCUACACUGAGUGGAUCAGCGGGUCAGGUUGCGCGAAAGUGUUUCCUAAUCUUUAAAUCCGCUCGUGAUGGGGAUUGACGGUUGCAAUUUUCCGUCAUGAACGAGGAAUACCUUGUAAGCGCGGGUCAUCAUCUCGCGUUGAUUACGUCCCUGCCCUUUGUACACACCGCCCGUCGCUCCUACCGAUUGAACGUGCUGGUGAAGCGUUAGGACUGGCUCUCGGGGCAGGUCUCCUGCCCCUUGAAUCGGGAAUUUCGUUGAACCCUCCCGUUUAGAGGAAGGAGAAGUCGUAACA
rnacentral:rRNA from 1 species